UACGGGGGGAGCAAGCGUUGUUCGGAUUUACUGGGCGUAAAGGGCGCGUAGGCGGCCACCGCAAGUCGACUGUGAAAUCUCCGGGCUUAACCCGGAAAGGUCAGCCGAUACUGCGGGGCUAGAGUGCAGAAGGGGCAACUGGAAUUCGUCGGUGUAGCGGUGAAAUGCGUAGAUAUCGAGAGGAACACCUGCGGCGAAGGCGGGUUGCUGGGCUGACACUGACGCUGAAGCGCGAAAGCUAGGGGAGCGAACGGG
rnacentral:rRNA from 1 species